rnacentral:rRNA from 1 species
UACGUAGGGUGCAAGCGUUGUCCGGAAUUAUUGGGCGUAAAGAGCUCGUAGGCGGUCUGUUACGUCGGCUGUGAAAACCCGGAGCUCAACUCCGGGCCUGCAGUCGAUACGGGCGGACUCGAGUUCGGCAGGGGAGACUGGAAUUCCUGGUGUAGCGGUGGAAUGCGCAGAUAUCAGGAGGAACACCGAUGGCGAAGGCAGAUCUCUGGGCCGUAACUGACGCUGAGGAGCGAAAGCGUGGGGAGCGAACAGG